GGCAAGCUGACACCGCAUUUGGCAAAAUAAUUGUCAGGCUGACACAUCUGGUGCAAAUGCGAAAAGACAGAUGACGGGGGGCGAGAAACGGGGGGGAAACAAAAACAGUAAAGAAGCUUUAUGCAGGAGAUACGCUACCCACCCCCUUCUCCACUCUCUCCCUCCCCCCACUCCUUCCUCCAGCUUACCCCGGCGUCCGAGCCACCGACGUUGCGCCCUUCAUCGUCGCUGUCGAAAUCGGUGUCGCUGUCGUCAACCUUCAGCCGCUUGGACGGGUGGUGCGAGGACUCGUAGUAAUCGUCCAGGUUGGAAGAGAAAGGAUUACUGCAAGAUCUAAAGCUGGAAAAAGACUAAAGAGGGGAAGCUGAAGACUUGGAUACAAUGGAAACCUACAUAAAGAGUGCAUCAAACUUCUCCAAAAGUGAUAUGGUGGAAAGACCUUGGAAUUGAACAUUGUGGAAUUAUCAGUGAAUAUCCCCACUUCUGACCUGAUGAUGGAAGGAAGGUCAUUGAUGAAGAUAUGAUGAAGAUACGAUGAAGAUACAAUAAAGAUACAACAAACAAUCUGCUGGAAGAACUCAGUGGGUCGAGCAGCAUUUGUAGGAGGAAAGGAAUUGUCAACCUUUCGGGUUGAAAUCCUGCCCUGAUGCAAGGUUUUGACCCAAAACAGUGACAAUUCCUUUCCCCCUCCCACAGAUGCUGCUUGACCCACUGAGUUCCUCCAGCAGAUUUUUUGUCGCUCCAGAUACCAGCAUCUGCAGUCUCUUAUAUUUCCAAGCAAAUAAAGAUGUUUGGGCCAAGGAAAAUGCCCUGAAGAACUCCUGUAGUCCUGGAGCUGGGAUCAUAGACCCCUAACAACUGCAACCAUCUUCCUUUGUACAAGGUAUGACUCCAACCUCCAGAGUUUUCUCCCCCAUUGACUUCAAUUUUUACCAGGGAGCCUUCAUUCAGAAUUCAGUUCUUUAGUUCUAGGGAACCCAAAUUGGACAUUGGUGAAUAGGUUGUUGAUAUGUAAGGGCCAUUUGACAGCACUGUAAUCAACAGCUUCCAUCACUGCUGAUGACUGAGAGUAGACUGACUGGCCAGUAGUUAGCCAGACUGGAUUUGUACUGCUUUUUGUUGACAAGGUAUUCCAGGGCAACUUUUUUUUUUACAUUUGUGGGUAAAUGUCAGUGUUGUAAUUGUAUUGGAGCUUUUUUUUAAAUUUCAAAAAUAGACUUUAUUCAUAAUAAAUACAUACAAAGGAAGAAAUGGUGCAAAAAAAACUUCUACAUUCAUGGUCAUUACAUUCAGUAGUGUAAAUGCUUAAAGAAAAUAAAACAAACAUAGCACCAUUGCCACUCACAUGGCACCCUGAGGUGAUACUCCUUUCAUUGUUCAAGGGGCUUCCCCACAUAAUGCUACCCCUCCAUGUGUGGUAAUGGAAGCUGCCCAGACUGUGGUCUUUCCCCACAGAGACUCAGCAUUGGCUGCACUGAGUUUCAGUGCGCCUCUCAGCACAUACUCCUGUAGCCUGGACUGUGCCAGUUUGCAGCAUUCCCUUACAGACAUCUCACUGUGCUGGAAGGCCAAGUUUCAGGCAGACCAAAGGGCGUCUUUCACUGAGUUGAUGACCUUCCAGCAGCACUUGGUCUGUCUCGGUGUGGGGCCCUGGGAACAACUCUCAGAUACUACAGCUGUAACAGAUCAUCUGCUCUUAAUAUAUGCUAUUUAUUGAAUUCAUUUAACUAUUUCACCAUCACCUUAACCUUACCGAUAGCUCCUAAUCAUCAAGAAAGCAGAAGGAAAUGAAGCAAGGAGAGGAAGUGGUAGAAAACAAUCUGCAGGAAGAACAGCAGCCCCAACAGCAACUGCUGGUGGAGGCUAACACUGGUUGUAGUAUGAGGGAGAUCCUUCCUGGACUUGCUUUCAGGGAACAUCUAAUAGCCCACACAUCCAACAGCCAGUGAACUUCCAGUCCACUCAUACAUAUCCACCAGUAUGGACUAAGGGACAGCAUCCUAAACAUACCUACAGACUUUCAUUUCAUUUUCUUUUCAAACUUUCCUACAGUGAUAGGUCAGUGGAGGCCAGUCCUCUCUUCUACUCCUGUGUAUCAUACAAAUAAGCCUAACUCGUAGCUCACUGGCAUUUAUUUAUAACAACCAUGUCCAAUUUGAUAGAUUAAGCUGACAUGAAGAAUCCAAUAAAAUGUGAUGGUUAAAGCACCUUGGAGGCAGCAAUUCUGAAACAUCUGUUCACUGAUCAAUAUUAUUAGGCAAGCAACUGCCAAGAAAAGGUACCAGGACUUUGAAUUAAUACCAACUCUAAGUGUAAUGGGCACGUGAGCCUUUUAAUUGAUCCUUGAGCAGAUAUGUGGGAUGAAACGUAUUCAGCACCAAAGCCAUCACGGGUAGCUGUUCCUUCCAUUUGAAAGUUGCCUUUGGGAUGGCAAUAUCUGUCCUCCCAACUUAAGAGACAUGAACACUGGAACAUGCCAAUGAAAGAUGGUCAUUAUGUUCUCUUCAUGAAGGCAGAGUUGGAAAAAAAAGCAUUAUCUGCAAACAACAAUCAGUGAAACUGGAUUGUUGUGGGAUUAUCCAAAGAAAAUGGAAAUAAUUGUAUAGAAAUGCAGACCAUUAUUGUGAUCCAUCGAACAAAGGGCGUGAGGUAUCA